rnacentral:lncRNA from 1 species
GUCUGUAACAAUUUUAAAAUAAAAGCCAGCAUAUUGGUGGGAAAAAAAACAAAAAUCCAACAACAACAAAAAUAAAACACAACAAGGCAUAUACUUCCAAUAUUUCCACUGUAUAAACCCAAUCCAUGGAUUAUGCAAAAGAGAUAAGUCUCUUGGAAAUGACAGUCAUUUGGUGACAAUAACAAAUCAGCAACAGAGGAGACUUUAACGAGUUACUCACUGUUUCCUCCCUCACCAAAGGCAUCUGCUAAGUCAAAGUCUGCCCCUAAAGGAAGGAAUCGGUCUGUUCAUAGUAAAGCUCUGAGAAAUGAGGAAGGAAUGACCUCGGAAACAGAUGGAGAAAUCACCAGAGACCCACAUGACUAAAGACUUUUCUGAAUAUCACACUGACUAGGAUCUCAUUUGAAAAAGUAAAUUCCUGAUCAUUUUCACAUCAUUCUUCCCCCAGAUGAAAAGAGUAAGAGAUGACAGCAAGAGAAAGAGGGAGAGAGAAAGAAUGUCAUUUGUAAAUCAACUGUGCUGCCUGGACCCAGUUGGGACUCUGAAUCUGCCUGCACACAACUCUGUCCCGUUGAUUCCCCAUUAUCUCCUCCCAGGUCCCCAACACCUUCAGCAAGGCAGACCGUAAGAGAAAUAAACAGAAAAAUAGUGGACAUGAAAAUGGAUUCAGAGUAACAAAAACAAGGAAAAAACACUUUAGAAACCCAUUGACAGAAUCAACAAGAGGAAGAGACAAAUCGAAUCUCAAAGAAAAAGCUCAGGCCGGCAUGGUGGCUCACACCUGUAAUCCCAGCACUUUGAGAGGCUGAGAUGGGCGGAUCACCUGAGGUCAGGGGUUCAAGAUCAGCCUGGCUAACAUGGCAAAACCCCGUCUCUACUGAAAAUACAAGAAUUUGCCGGGCAUGGUGGUGCAUGUUUGUAAUCCUAGCUAAUUGGGAGGCUGAGGCACGAGAAUUGCUUGAACCCAGGAAGUGGAGGUUGCACUGAGCCAAGAUCACGCCACUGCACUCCAGCCCGGGCGACAGAGAGAGACUCUGUCUCCAAAAUAAAAAAAGGAAAGAAAAUAAAAGAAAAAACUCAACAUUGAAAACGUGUUACCAUUCCUUCAAUCAACCUAUGGUGAUAAACAAUUCAAAUGAAAUUAAAAAGAAGGUUUUACUUCUCUGAAGAGAAGGGACAAUAGCAAAAUGAUUCUCAAUUUAAAAGGAAAAAAAGUUACAAAAAGCAGGAUAUCCACACAAACAUAAGACACCAUAAAAAAAUAAACAUACCACUUGUAAAACAUUCCUGUUAAAAAUAUUCAAAGGCAAAAAUAAAGUGCAAAACCAUUUUCAUAAAAAAAAAAAAAAAAA